CCGCUGAGCGGCUAAGUUAAAAUUUGUAAAAGAAGCGCGGGGGAGGAAAAAUUCAUUCCCACACUUAGACAUAUUUGGAGUAUCAUUGACUUCAGCUUGCCCUAACACUAUUCGACCAAACCUCCCUUUUCUCCUUCGUUCUCUGCCUCCGACAAAAACCAUCCUCCUCUUCGUUCUCCGUCUCCGACCACAACCCUCCUCCUCGUCUCCGUUCUCCGGCUACAAUCACAACCCUACCCUCCUCGUCCUCCUCCUUUUCCGCCUCGGACCAGCUCCUCUGCUCGAAGACGGUGAAGAGAAUCAGCCUCUUUGUUCUCCCCAUCCGACAAAAACCAUCCUCCUCUUCGUUCUCCGCCUCCGACCACAACCCUCCGCCUCGUCUUCGUUCUCCAGCUACAAUCACAACCCGACCCGCCUCGUCCUCCUCCUUUUCCGCCUCGGACCAGCUCCUCUACUCGAAGACGGUGAAGAGAAUCAGAAAUGGAGGCCGGGCUUUUGGAGAAAAUUUGAGCUUUUUGUCUUAGGAUUUGUGUUUCAUCUACCGAAGCUUUGUGGGCUGCAUUCGAGCUUUCUGGGCAUUCAUGUUCUGAGCUUUCUAGGCAUUCUCCAUAUCUGAGGAGACUUCGAACUGUGUUUUCUAGUCAUGAAGGUUUCUGUAGCUUGGAAGUUUUAAGCUUGGGCCAAGAAGCGAAAACAGUAACUACUCCUUAUGCUUGUUACUUCAUUUUAAUCAAUUCAUGGUCUCUGAUGUUGCAGUUGUUUGUGUCCCUCAGUCCAUCGAGUCCCUCACUCUAUUUCCCACUAUAAAUCAGACGCACAUCCCUUACAAUGGGGACUCCACCAUUUCAAUCAAGACCCCUUUCCCUCUGCUCUGGUGUCCUGUGAACCCAACUAAACGACACCCUCGCCAUGUCAAUUAACUCAUCAAACGCACACCCUUUUCUCUCCUGCAUUUUUAUUUUCCAUAAAAGGCAGAGGCAGCUUCACCAAACAGUUCUCACAUUCACAACCCAGAUUCAGUUGUUGUGAUUGAAAAAGGUUUUGCCUUUGAUCAGUGUUAUAGGUUGAGGUGAAAUCGAUUUGUUGACAACAUGUAUCUUCUGAGGAGAAAAGCUCAGAACCCUGUGGAGGAUGAUUCUGCACAGAAAGAGGCACAAAAAGAAGCUCAGAAAGAAGCAAAGGUGCAUAUAGAGGGGCUCAGGGUCAAGAAGAUGGAGAUAUAGUUGUGGGUUUCUCUCUGAAAAGUCUUCUGAGAUAAUGUUUUCUAUUCUGAAAAGGAAAUGCUCAUGGUCUAUGAUAUCGGCGAUUGCUUCUAUUGUGGGAUUGGUUUCACUAAUGUUGGCUUCAAAAGUUCAUCUGUUCUUCUUUCCAUUAGUUCCUUCUUUCGAGUACUUUAGUCAAACUCAUAACUCUUGUGUCCCAAUCAAUGCUUCCACUGAAGCAAUUACGGAUCAUUUUAGGGGAAAUUUAGAACCUCCUAUUGACUUAGAAAAUCAUUUUCCAGCUGACUUGCACAAGGCAGUUGUUUUUCAUGGAGCACCAUGGAAGGCAGAGAUUGGCCGGUGGCUUGCUGGUUGUGGCUCAAUUUCUAAUAAAGUCAACAUUGUGGAGUUAAUAGGUGGGAGUGGCUGCAAAAAUGACUGCAGUGGUCGAGGUUUUUGUAAUCGUGAAUUGGGACAAUGUCGGUGCUUUCAUGGAUAUAGUGGUCAGUAUAAUUUCAUCUUCUUUCUUUCGGUGUAAUUAAAUUAAUACAAAACUUCAAAUAAUUAGGAGCAAUCAGAAGUGGGUAUGAUGCCCAAUUAGUCAU